rnacentral:rRNA from 1 species
AUUGAACGCUGGCGGCAGGCCUAACACAUGCAAGUCGAACGAGUGGCGGACGGGUGAGUAAUGUCUGGGAAACUGCCUGAUGGAGGGGGAUCACUACUGGAAACGGUAGCUAAUACCGCAUACCAUCAGAUGUGCUCAGUGGGGAUUAGCUUGUUGGUGGGGUAACGGCUCACCAAGGCCACGAUCCCUAGCUGGUCUGAGAGGAUGACCAUCUACACUGGAACGGUGUCACGGUCCAGACUCCUACGGGUGUCAGCAUUGGGGAAUAUUGCACAAUGGGAGCAAGCCUGAUGCAGCCAUGCCGCGUGUAUGAAGAAGGCCUUCGGGGUGUAAAGUACUUUCAGCGGGGAGGCGUUACCCGCAGAAGAAGCACCGGCUAACUCCGUGCCAGCCGCCGCGGUAAUAC